GCAGUCGUGGCCGAGUGGUUAUGGCGAUGGUCUUGAAAACCAUUGCGUUCUUCCCGCGCAUGUUCGAACCCUGUCGACUGCG
rnacentral:tRNA from 1 species